rnacentral:lncRNA from 1 species
UGUUCCCCUCGGGGCGCGUCGGGCUCAACGUGGAGCACUCGUGGGGAGACCCCCCCGUGGCCUGGCACCUCUGGGAGUUCGCGCUGGCCCUGGACCGGUCCUUGGGCUACGACGAGAGCGGGAAUUGUCCCGGGGACGGGCAGGGCAGGGACCCCGAGCCCCCCAUGGAGCUGCACUGGGAGCUGCCCCCGCAGGUUUCGGGGAUGCUGUCUCAUGCUAAGGGGUUCAGAGCUGUUUGAGGAUAUUUUGGGGUAUUUCAGGAAUAUUUUUGGGGAGGUUUCAGGGAUGCUGUCUCAGCCCUGGGGGUUCAGAGGGGUUUGAGGAUAUUUCGGGGUAUUUU